CAUCGCCUCCUGCAACUGGAUUGAGUAUAGGAGGUCCAGCCUGCCCAGUGACUACGGGUUCAACGGCCGCGGUAUUUUGACCGUGCAAAGGUAGCGCAAUCACUUGUCUCUUAAAUAGAGACCUGUAUGAAUGGCUAGACGAGGGCUUAACUGUCUCCCCCCUCCAGUCAGUGAAAUUGAUCUAUCCGUGCAGAAGCGGGUAUAACCGUACAAGACGAGAAGACCCUUUGGAGCUUAAGGUACAAAAUUCAACCACGUUAAACAACUCCAUAAGAAGCAAGAACUUAGUGGCAGAUGAAAUUUUACCUUCGGUUGGGGCGACCGCGGAGGAAAAAUAAGCCUCCGAGUGGACUGGGCCAAACCCCUAAAGCUAAAAGAAACAUCUAUAAGCCGCAGAACAUCUGACCAAAAAUGAUCCGACUAAAAAGCCGAUCAACGAACCAAGUUACCCUAGGGAUAACAGCGCAAUCCUCUCCCAGAGUCCAUAUCGACGAGGGGGUUUACGACCUCGAUGUUGGAUCAGGACAUCCUAAUGGUGCAGCCGCUAUUAAGGGUUCGUUUGUUCAACGAUUAAAGUCCUACGUGA
rnacentral:rRNA from 1 species